rnacentral:lncRNA from 1 species
UGAAUUUGAAGCCUUGACAAAGAGAAGGCAAAAUGAGUUUGUGUCCCUGAGUUGCUAAGUGGAGAAGAAACGUCCACCAGCCAGGAAACACCUGCCUCCAACUGUUAACAGAUCUGUGAAAUGUGCUUUGUUUCUGGUCAGCAUGGUCACCUGCUUUAAUAGUGGCUUCAGAUGAGGUACCUUGUGACAGAGGAGCUCUGCCCCUGCAGCAACCUUGAAGAUGUUGUGGAAGACAAUAGCCAUUCUUACUUCACUCUGAGGACCAUGAUGGCAUGCAAGUGUGUGCCAAGCACAUUGCUAUCUUUGGCCAUUCUCUCUCACAUUAGUACACCUGGAUGUGAAUGGCACGUUAUCUAUGUAAGCAGUGAUGGUCUCUAUCUGGUAGUAGAAAUGACGGAAUUACACACAAUCAGCACAGCUGAGAUUCGAUUUACUAGCUCAGUAAUCAGAGAAUAUGUAUGACAUCCCAGCAAA